rnacentral:rRNA from 1 species
AAUGAACGUUGGCGGCGUGGAUUAGGCAUGCAAGUCGUACGGGUCGGUGUAGCAAUACAACGGCAAGUGGCGAAAGGGAGAGUAACACGUAGAUACCUACCCUCUGGUCGGGGAUACCGCGGCAUAACCGCAAGUAAUACCCGAUAAAAUCUCCGGAUCAAAGGUGUGAUUCCGCCGGAGGAGGGGUCUGCGUUCUAUCAGCUUGUUGGUGAGGUAAUGGCUCACCAAGGCUAAGACGGAUACGGGGUGUGAGAGCAUGCCCCCGCUCACUGGGACUGAGACACUGCCCAGACACCUACGGGUGGCUGCAGUCGAGAAUCUUCGGCAAUGGGCGCAAGCCUGACCGAGCGACGCCGCGUGCGGGACGAAGGCCUUCGGGUUGUAAACCGCUGUCGAGGGGAAUGAAGUGUAGGUGGGUACUCCCAUCUAUUUGACAGAUCCCUGGAGGAAGCAUGGGCUAACUACGUGCCAGCCGCCGCGGUAAUAC